rnacentral:tRNA from 1 species
GGGGGUGUACCUCAGUGGUAGAGCACUUGCCUAGCACGCAUGAGGAUCUGGGUUUGAUCCCCAGCACCACAU